rnacentral:rRNA from 1 species
AUGACGUCAAAUCAGCAGGCCCUUAUGUCCCAGGGCUACACACGUGUUACAAUGGUCGGUACAGAGGGCAGCUACCUGGUGACAGGAUGCUAAUCUCGAAAACCGGUCUCAGUUCGGAUCGAAGUCUGCAACUCGACUUCGUGAAGCUGGAUUCGCUAGUAACCGCGCAUCAGCUAUGGCGCGGUGAAUACGUUCCCGGGCCUU